GAAUAAAGAGGGGAGGACACAGCAGAAGAGAAUUCAGUUGAACUCAGCCAUGAGCAUGCCGUGACUCACUUGUGAAUCUUCAGCGAACGACACAGCCAGCAUGCCGACGGGGACGUACUCUCCACACAUAGAACUGUGAGGACGUGAUUCACGUUCGCGCUGUGAUUCGGUCAUGAUUCGCGAACCUACCGCACACAGAGAACUGUCACUGAGGACGUGCUUCUUGUUCACAGGUUCAUUGAGAAGCUGGGCCAAGCUUCUCAUUCAGCGGAGUGGCUGACACACAUUCAUCUGCAGCAGGUUGACAAUUUGGGCAUACUCAUAAGCCCUGCCCUCCACAUUACCUGCUGUCAUUUGAUUUCAUCAGUUAGAUGUGCUACAUGACUCAUGUGUCCCUUCACUCAAACUACCAGUGUUUCCUGCUCCAGCCAUCCAGCUCUCCGCAUCUUCGCAGCCAGCAGCCUUACCCUAUGCUCACCGGAGUCUCAACCCACCAUGCCACUGUGAGCUACCACACCUCCUUCUCAUUCCUUCAAGAUGCAGAAUCUGCCUGGGACUCUCUACAUCUUUACCUGCGAAUCCCUUGUUAAGUCAAUAAAUUACCUUCUACCCUACUUCCUGCCUCAUUAUCCGCUAUUGGG